rnacentral:lncRNA from 1 species
CUCAAUAACAUCUGCUUUGAUUUUUUCCUCCAGCUUGUAAUCUUUUAUAUAAUCCAACAAAUUGGGACUACCCAAUUCUAGUUCCAAUGCACUGACUUUAUCAAUCCCGAUGUCGUAUAGUAUGAUUUGUUAUUUGGGAAUAUACUAGAUAUCUAGUUAUAGAGAGUUUAGCUUAAAUUUUAAUAUGUAUGUUUUUUUAACUUCCAAAAUUCUUUUAUUUUGCACAAAAUUCAAAAUAUAGCAAAAUCUCUUCAAAACAUAUUUUUUUCCACAAAAGGUUUUCUAUUCUAGAACUUUAGAAAUUUAUAAUUCUUGAUCUAACUAUUCAAUUUGUCUCAAACUUAUAAAGUAAGUAGAACUCAUCCUUAAGUUUUACUACAGAAAAAAAAAAAAAAAAAAAAAAAAAAAAAAAACCAAUUGCAAACUCACUCCCGAUCUUCUGGCAUCUAAGAAACCCUAACAGAUGCUCUAAACCCUAAUUUAUAAGCACUUGAGCACUAUUUUCUUAUUAUUUCAAGAAUCCAAUAUUCAAAAAUCAUCAAACUUAUGUACAAAGUUUACUUACAUGAAUAUACACAUUUCUUGAAAUUUUGAGCCAAAACCUUAUCAAAUUGCUUAAGAUAUAGCUCAAGACACAACCACUAGUAAAUCGGGUCACUUACUACCCUUAGAUUGUAUGCACUGACUUCAAAAUCCAAUAUCUCCUUCAUUUCAACUUAAAAUCCAGCAAGAAAUAUACAAAAAGUAUAGCCGUAAAAGUGCUCUCUCCAGUUGUAGUCGCCGAUCCUCAAUUGCACUCCGUACGCGUGCGUUAUGUCAAAAAGAGUGAUAAUAGCUCUCAAAUCAAUACCUUAACUUUGAGCGCCUAUAUCUCCUUCAUAUUAACUCCAAAUCAUACAAGAUUUGCUCCAAAACCAUAGCCAAAAACCUAAACUUUCUGAUCCUAGCCUACAAAGCUCGAAUGGCUCCAAAAAACUAACCUUAAUCUCUAAUAUGGCCUCGGGCAGCCUCCUCGAAUCCCAUUGGUUAUGAUUUUUGACCAAUAGGAAUGGAGAUUUUCAUCAUC